rnacentral:rRNA from 1 species
AUUGAACGCUGGCGGCAGGCCUAACACAUGCAAGUCGAGCGAGCGGCGGACGGGUGAGUAAAGUCUGGGAAACUGCCCGAUGGAGCGGGAUAACUACUGGAAACGGUAGCUCAUACCCCAUACCACCAGAAGUGCCCAGAUGGGAUUGUCUAGUAGGUGGGGUAACGGCUCACCUAGGCGACGAUCCCUAGCUGGUCUGAGAGGAUGACCAGCCACACUGGAACUGAGACACGGUCCAGACUCCUACGUGAGGCAGCAGUGGGGAAUAUUGCACAAUGGGCGCAAGCCUGAUGCAGACAUGCCGCGUGUGUGAAGAAGGCAUUCGGGUUGUAAAGCACUUUCAGCGGGGAGGCGUUACCCGCAGAAGAAGCACCGGCUAACUCCGUGCCAGCAGCCGCGGUAAUUC